AAACACGACAAUAUCCUAUACCUUGUCUUCACUGUAGAUGCGCCUACGUAAAUUCCCAACGAGCUGUCCUUUGACACAUAGGAAACGGUGCACGUUAGCAAAUCGCGUGCACAUUAGAAAGGAAAGAAAUAAGGAAAAAUAAGAAGAUUUCCGUUCGUUGUCAGAAUCGGAACCGUCUCUUUCCAUCUCCGAUCGAUCACUCCCCUUAACAAGAGCAUAUUUCGAGGAAGAGAGGUCAAGUAAUAUGCCUGAAAGAAAGAGGAAAGCUCCUACAUUGGUUGAUCUUUGUGUUAAUGUAGCAAUAAGUCAUGUGAGGUACUUAGGAGACGUUGGGGAAACAGAUUUACUUCUCCUUGAUCGCAUUUUACCACAUUGUACAUUGGACCAGUUGAUGCAUGUAGAGAAAAGCACAGUAGGGCGAGAUCUUAGCCCAGUAACUGAUAAGCUAUGGAAGAGAUUCUAUGAGCUGCAGUUUGGCGAGGCAAAUGCUAAUCUUGCAAUAGAGAGGAUGAGCAGGUGCAAAGCUUCCUUUCGCUGGAGAGACCUAUAUGAGCUCAUGUAAUGAAACAUCAUUUCCUUACAAAAUAUUCGAUCUAAGAGGGGUGAAAUUUUUGUAGGCAAAACUGAAGGUUAUUGCUGAGCAGGAGGAUGAAGCAGUUGCUCGACUUCGGCAAUCAUACAAAAAGGAAGAUACUAGUAUGUUCUUCUUUUACUUGGCAUAUUUAUGUUUCAUUGCAUAUUGUUAUGAUUUGUAAAGCAUAUUUCUAAAAUUUACUUUGUAUUCUUCCUCGUUACUUAUGAUACUUUCACAUAUAUGAUUUAUAUUGUGGAGUCAUUAAAGGCCAUCAAGUUUUUAGCAGCCACUAUUAGCAACUCUAAUGUCGUAAAUGAGAUUAGGUGUGAACUCUGGCGUAGCAUUAGCUGCUAUGAUUUAUAAAUAAUCAAAAUUCUUAACCCAUGUUCAACUUUUGUAGAAAAACAAAGUAAGCAAAUUCGUCUUUGCACAAAGGUUCCACCUUCAGGCAGUAAAAGAAACUUUUAUGGAGGUAAUCUUUCCCUGUUCUCUUCUAAUUUAACUUGCAGCCCUUUUGCAGAGGCGCUGAAACUGUAGACGAUGUAUUACAAAUUUGUAUGCUUUGUCGGUAUCACUUUGAAUAUUUGUCUUAAGGAAGUGGACCUGGAUACAAUCUUUCCAAUGUGAAGAGCAACUUGAUGAAGAAAUCAAAAAUAGAAUUUCUUAAGAGGUAACAUUUCUUAUGCAUGCUAAUUUUAGGAAAUCAUGAAACUUUGUGUUUUCUAAUUUUAUGAUGAUGAUAAUAAAUGCUGCUAAUUCUUAUUCUUCCAUAUAUAGCAGUGGAUUAGUAAGCUAUAACACGUAACAAGUUAGAUAGAGACUAAGAAAAAAAUCAAUUCUUUCACAUUUUAAAAAAAAGAAAAGAAAAGAAAAAGUGUCUUUUAAUAUUGAAGUAUACCUUUAUACUUUGUAAUGUUUUUGAAGUAACUUAAAUUUGAACCAUUUAUGUAUGUCUGGCUGCAGCAAGUUAUCAUGUAAUCUGUUUUCUCAUUUAAAGAAAGAAGAAAGAAAAGAAAGAAACUUUGAAGCCUUUUGUACAUUUGUGUUUUUACUGGGGCCUUGGUUUACUGGCCAAAGCAUUUCACAUUUUUUAGAUGAGUUAAACCAAAAAUAAUUGUUCAAUUUUUUAUUUUUUUUUAAAUUCUUGCUUUAUUGCUUUUGACCAGCCGAGAAGUGAAAAAUAUUGCAGCCAUGAAGAAAAUUUCGGUGCGAAGAAAUAAUAGUGCCUCUACUGUGACAAAGACUGGGGGCUUUCCUGGAAAUAAUUCCGCAUCAUCUUCUAGACAUACAAAGUCAUUCGACAGGAGAUUCUAGAAGCAUGUGAUCUGAGGCUUUGCAUUGUCAACAAUGGGAGCAAAACAAAAUGAUUUAUUUACCUGAACUUUGAAACAUUUAAAGUUUCAAUUUGAAUACGUAAAUGCACAAGCUGAUCUCCCUCUGCGUCUGCAUCCACAUUACAACCUUCCAUUUUGAGAGAGCAAUAUGUCAGACUUGUAAUAUAUUCUUUUUACUCGAGUAUUUGUCACAGUAAUGACACAUUCAUAUGAAUGGUUAUAAUUGUUGUAUUUUGAUGCUCUCUUUUAAGGUACAAUUUGAACUCCCGCAUUAUCAUGCUUUGUAAUCUUCAACUAAGGUUCUAAUGACUUACAAGGGAGAGUACACCCUUGGCCUCAUUUCCAAUUCUUUCUUUACGAGGCCAUAAACGUGUAAUUUUUGGUAGCAAAUUGUAAUUGGACAGCCCACUUGGUAGCAAAGAAAACCUUAAUCA
rnacentral:misc_RNA from 1 species